UUAGGUUUAUUUUUCUUUCUUUUUUUGCACAAAUAUAAUAAAAACAAAAAAUAAAGCAUCAUUCGAAUGUUCUUGGUGAUUGCUGCACAC
rnacentral:ribozyme from 14 species